ensembl:lncRNA
GUGAGCUUCAGUAUUCUUAAUACUAGAUCAUUCUCUGUAUACUACAUUUGGCCAUACAUUUUCCAAAAUUAUUAUUGAUAUUUGAUGCUUAAUUAAGACCAUUUAAGUCACCUUAUUUUUUCAAAAACUUCAAAAAUACUCAUAUCCUACUUUCCUUAAAAGUAACGUCUCCUCUGGAAAAAGUUAUGAUCCAUCUGGACCCUUUCCUGUCUAACCUACUGCAGGGAACUUCUUUAGCAGUGAGAUUGGACUGGGUGAUCUCCAGAGGUGCCUUCCAACCGCUGCGAUUCCAUGAUUCAGUGAUUACGAUUCUCAGUUUCAAGGACUUAGUGAAAAAAAAUUAAGUUUUUUUUUAAAGUAUAUUGAAGUCAGAAGGAACUAUUUGGAUUAAAGUCCAAGCUCUUGAUCAACACCAGUCUUCCAGUCUUUCACUCUUGCUUAGAAGACCUUAUGGACCUUAGCUUCUAUUUUGAUAUAAAUCAUACCUUCAGAGGAACAUCCUAUCCUGGCCAGAAGAUUGAAGGGAUGCAGAAUCCAGCACAAUUGCAGGAAAACAGCAAGACCUCUCCUUGGAGUAGGACCCAAUUUAUCUGGCAGUCCUACAUAUAGAGAUGAGCAUUUUCGGCGUCUGUAAUACUGCUGAUCUGUUCUGUCUAAACCUAAGCUGUAUCUUUGAGAAGAGUCUUUGGCCAUUUGGUCCCUUUCAAAGGAAGACUUGAAGGUGCUGCACUUCAUUUCAGGAAACACAAUUUGAUUGGGCUCCAGGACUUCUGAUUUGUUCUCCUCAACCACUGGACAUCACAAAGGGCUGAAAGCCAAUCCUAAUUUUUUGCUGAAGAUUCAGUGGGGCAACAUAGAUUAAUUCCUUUUGCCUCUGCUACCAGAACAUCUUGCAAAAGGAGACUAAAGGAAUGGAUGAAGAUAGAAUGAGCACUAGAUUCCCACAAACAUUGUCCACGGAGAUUCUGAAGUCCUAAACUGGAAGAGAGGAGGAUAUCUUGUGUGGGGCUCCAACCAGGUAUAGAUAAUGUGUGACACUGUAUUAUACUAAGGACAUAAUAAGGUAUAAUAGUCCAGUUCACAGGCAUCUCAACUUGGGCAAGUAGAAUUUAGUGAAAACAUCAGACCUUAAUUUCUUUGUGCAUACAGAAUGGUGAUUAGCAAUACCUUCUUAGGCAGUUUCUGUAAAUAUUUAUGAAGUGCAUGAGAUGCUAUAGCAACAAGCAACAUGCAAAUCUCAGGACAAAAUUUGUUUUGCUUUUGGUGUGGGAUAUGAUUAGCGUGCAAAAACAACGUGAGGGCUGAGAAAUUCCUCUGACCGCACAAUAGACAGUGAGGCAAAAGCAAAGUACUGUUUAAUAACAGCUAAUUUUGCAUACUGAAAUAAGUGGAGCCCUGUGAAGAAUGUCUUUGCUUUUUGUAUCACAGUAUCUCAAAGACUGAAGUAACAGAGGCACUAUGGAUUUUGCCUACAUUUCAAACAAGAAAUAUAUGUGAUGAUUCAGAUAGAACUGAUGGCAAAUGUGUAUCCUUUUUCCAGCUGUUAACCUCUGUACUGGUGCUCUAUAAUUCAUGGGUCCCAUAGAGGUUUUCAGGGCUAGAUAAAAUAUCAGAGUAUUGCAUUCAAGUGGACUACAAAGUGUUGAGUAUUUUGUUCUGCCUUCUGCUGGCUACUGACAGUGAAUUUUGUGUUCAGAAAGACUUCUCUUUAAAUCAACACUCCUUUACAAUAAUAUUGCCCCAAUGAGAGACUUUAAUAAUACAAGAAACCAGCAUGUUUAAAUACAUAAAAACCACAGUAGGGUAGAGAAACCACAACAACUCAGCAGGCCUGUGCAGGACCAGCAGCUACAGCAAUGAGAGGAGGAUGAAGAAGACUGCCAUAUAAAUUCAGCUUACAGAAAUUAUUUUGUUUGACUGAGGUUGCAAAAUGACAGUGAGAGAAGUGAUAAAAUGGACUUUCCAGGGUGAAGUAAUCCAGAAACCUUAGCAGUCUGAAAAUCAUUUUUUCUAGUCUGUCUCAAUCUUCUAAUAAUCUAAACCCUGGUCAAAGGGAUUAUUUGUGUGGUAGAUGGUUAAAGACUGAUUCUGGGAAAGUCAGAAUUAACAGAAAUGGUUAAAUAUUAGGAAAGAAAACACUUUGCAUUGUUUAAUUUGCUGUUUGCAUACCAUAAAAGAUAUCUUCUAUUUCAUACAACUUUCUUCAUAUUUCAAAUAUAGGUGUGAAGUUGUUUGCAUUCCUAAGCACUGUGUUAAUAGAGAGCUAAACAUUUCUCUGAUAUGGCAAAGAAGUAUCCUGCACUGAUGCCAUGGACAAUGGAAAUUUUUUUCAAACUAACUGCAUGAUUAAACUGUACUUGUUUUCAUUUGAUUGUAUGACCUUAAUACGCUUAAUACGCUGAAGUAUUUCUUUGCAAGUUGUUAAACUCCUGUUCUGUACUUUAUAUGCAGUUAUGUUCACCUGUUAGAAAGAUACCCAAUAUUUAUGAUUCUGUAGACAUCAGCAGUAGAGCUAGCAGAGAAGUCUCUUACUCAGAGCUGAAUUAAUAACCUGGCGUAGCAUCGGGGCCAUUGUGCUGGUGGAAGUUAUAUAUUUCAGAUAAGACACGUUGUUUUGCAUAACUGAACUAGUGAAUAGUAUUAAUGUUACCAGGACAUUGGAAUAAUUCAGUGAUGAGAAAAAAUAUUCCAUGAUCUCUAAUCCUACAUUAGAGGAAUCAGAUAUGUCUGUAGUCUCAGUAGAAGAAAAUCAGUAUUUCUGUAAUUUCAACAAAGGUAUUCCUGUGUUCAGUCAUAGAAGUACCUCAGUCUUAGGAACACCAAGGCAAAUCCAGUGUUCUUACUUCUUGCCUAGAAAUAAACAAACAAAACCAAACAACAACACAACAUUUGCAACAUUUGUGAUUUCAACUGGAUGAAAUAAUCUUGCUUUUCCCAUCCUAAACUGCCAAAACCAUUUGCAAUCCAUUCUGACAAAUGCUAAGUAUUCUUUAGGUACAUCUGCAAAUUAUACUUGGAAGUAAGUUAACAUACAGAAAUAGUUUGAUACUUCUGUUCAGCCAAAGAGCACAAGAAUUUCUUCAAAUGACCUUUUCCAAAAAUCGUUUGAUCUUAC